rnacentral:snRNA from 1 species
AGAUGUGAGGGCAAUCUGAUUGUCACACCACUGACCGUCAGGGCUGAUCUGGCUUAUCCGGCUGGCUAGGGGGCUGACCCGUCCUCCCUCACCGCUCCAUGUUAAAGAGGAGCACCUUCCCCGAAUAGAGCACCAGUCUUUGGUCAAGGGUGCAUGAGUUAGCUGCACUCCCCUGCUAGAACCUCCAAACAAGCUCUCAAAUAAAAUAAUAAAAUAUAUUUUACAAAAAAUGGUUUUUUUAUCAGUACCAGGGAUAUCUUCCAAUGAACUGUUGGCCAGGGAACUCCCUGAUGUUCCCCAAAAU